AACGAACGUUCGCGGCGCGCCUAACACAUGCAAGUCGAGCGAGAAAGGGCUUCGGCCCCGGUACAGCGGCGCACGGGUGAGUAACACGUAGGCAAUCUGCCCCUGAGUGGGGGAUAACCUUCCGAAAGGAGGGCUAAUACCGCAUGAGACCACGACCCCGCGAGGGGAUGAGGUCAAAGCCGGCCACUUCAUGAAAGCUGGCGCUUGGGGAUGAGCCUGCGGCCCAUCAGCUAGUUGGUAGGGUAAUGGCCUACCAAGGCGUAGACGGGUAGCUGGUCUGAGAGGAUGAUCAGCCGCACUGGAACUGAGACACGGUCCAGACUCCUACGGGAGGCAGCAGUGGGGAAUCUUGCGCAAUGGGCGAAAGCCUGACGCAGCGACGGCGCGUGAGUGAUGAAGGCCUUCGGGGUGUAAAGCUCUGUGGAGGGAGACGAAUAAGGCAUGGCUAACAUCCAUGUUGAUGACGGUAUCCCUUUAGCAAGCACCGGCUAACUCUGUGCCAGCCGCCGCAGUAAAAC
rnacentral:rRNA from 1 species